rnacentral:snoRNA from 1 species
CCCCCUGUCAAUGGGCAAAGAGGCACCUUGUUAGUGGUGUUGUUCUUAGGACAGAGCAGAUGGCAGUUCUUUGUUCAUCCUAGCUUGAUGCUUGGAUUUGUAGCCAAAUGUGUUUUAUGCCUAGGACUCGUAC